UGCCAGCAGCCGCGGUAAUACGGAGGGUGCGAACGUUGUUCGGAAUCACUGGGCAUAAAGAGCACGUAGGCGGUCCGCUAAGUCAGAUGUGAAAGCCCUGGGCUUAACCUGGGAAUGGCAUUCGAAACUGCAGAGCUAGAGUAUGGUAGAGGGAAGUGGAAUUUCCGGUGUAGCGGUGAAAUGCGUAGAUAUCGGAAGGAACACCAGUGGCGAAGGCGACUUCCUGGGCCAAUACUGACGCUGAGGUGCGAAAGUGUGGGGAGCAAACAGGAUUAGAUA
rnacentral:rRNA from 1 species